UAUAAAACCCCCUUGUACUAGAAUAAAGAAUAGAAAACAAACUAGCGUCAUCAAUCUCAUUAUAAACAAAGUUGAACAAAAUUAUUGUACCUAACCUACUCGUAACUUAUCUCAAAGUUGCCCCGCUGUAUUUUUUUUUAAUAUUUGGGUUAAACUAUUUUCGUGUUUGAAAAAGAAAAACAAAACUCAGAACCUGCCUUUCAUUUUCGCAACUUCUGUGUUCUCCUCCAUUUUCGAUCUUUGCUCUUCUCCAUUUUCGCUCAGGUUCAUCGGGCUUUGCUCUUCUCCAUUUUCGCUCAACUCUCACCUUCUCCACCAGAGUAUAAAGUUUAUGGUGAAGAAGAACCUGCCUUUCGUUAUCAACUAUCAAUCAGUUUCUCAAUCUAGGGUUUGCUUGCUGUUCAACAUUUAAUAAGUUUCUCAGUGAAUUAAAUCUUGGACUUAUGACAUAAUCUCAAAACAAAGAAAGCUCCUGCUGGCUGAAAUUGAAGACAUUUGUGCUGUGCAGUGUGCUAGUUGAAGAAAGCAAGGUGGUUUAGAUGCUCCAAGGUUUACCGCUAUUGUUGUAGUUGGCCUAGGCAUUGCUGUUGUGGCCGGACACUGCUUUUGCUUGGCUGAUUGUUGCUGCUUCAAUUGUAGUGUACUCUAAUCAUCUAAUUGUAUUUUUUUUUUAAUUUUUUCGGAUAAAAAGUGUAAAUUUACAAGCUAUUAAUGGGAAUAUCUAUGUUUUAUAA